rnacentral:snRNA from 1 species
AGCUUUGUGCAAUGGCAGUAUUGUAGCCAAUAAGGUUUAUCUGAGGCGCAAUUAUUGCUAAUUGAAACCUGUUG